AAUCUAGGUUGUGUGGAUGAUAAGCACUUAUAUCUUAUUGCCAAAGACAUGAGACUGGAAGGCGAUCAACUAGGGCGCAGCCUAGGUCUCAGUUGGAGCAAGCCUGAGAUACAACAAAUAUGGAGUGAUAACAGACGAUUGCUGGAAUGCAUAAUGGAUAUGCUGACAGAAUGGAGAAAACAACAGGACUAUGAGACAGAUGAAGUUGAGAUAAUGUGCAGGGCUUUAAAAGAGCAGGCACUCACCGAGUUUGCUAACAAGGUCUUUGGCUCACAAACAUCAGAGGAUCAAUCAUCCCAUGUACAAGCAAGUACAGAUCAUCCUUGUGGAAGAUUACAUUGAAUGAACCAGCAACAUGAUGGUUGCUUGGCUGAUACUGAUCUUCAGUUCAUUGCUGGAAGACUUGACAAUGACUGGAAAUGAAGAGCUAUGAAUAAAUCAAAUUGCAAGAAUAUAUUCAGGACACAUGCUUUGGAGACCAAAAUAACAUUACAUCAUGACUAUAUAUGGGCACAUCAUGAUUAUAUAUAGGCACAUCAUGAAUGUAUAUGGGCACAUCAUGACUACAUAUGGGCACAUCAUGACUAUAUAUGGGCUCAUCAUGACUAUAUAUGGGCACAUCAUGACUAUAUAUAGGUACAUCAUGACUAUAUAUGGCCGUCCAACAACUUUUCGUUAUUAAAAGAAAAUGUGAUAAUCCGGACAGAGCUUAAGCCUGAUUUUCAUAAAAUAAAAUCGCUAUAUUGUCGCUACAGUGAUUUCCAUGCAAUGGUUGCACUGUGUAGCUGUCUCCAACAACUGACCAAUCAGCAUUGCCAAAAACAUCUGACAUGCCUAAAUAUGGUCAUGAUGACAUCACAUCAUGACCAUAUAUAGUGAUAUCAUGACUAUACUGUAUAUCAGCACACUGUACAAUAGUUUCUUUCUCAAAGAAAAUUUGAUAGUCUGGACAGAGCUUAAGCCUGUUUUUCAUAAAAUCGCUACAUUGUCGCUACAUGCAAUGGUUGUGCUGUGUAGCUGUCCCCAGCGCAAUUUCGAAGGCCUCGCGACUUGACCGACCAAUCAGCAUUGCCAAAACGUUUAUUAACGUUGAUAAAGAUAGCAGGAGCUAUCGAAAUAUCCGUUGUAUAUAUAUACAUAUAUAUGUAUAUAUAUAUAUAUAUAUAUGUAUAUAUAUACGUAUAUAUAAAUACGUAUUGUAUAGUGCAUUGUGUGCAGAUUAGAAAGCAUUUGCUUAUCCCACCUACCUUUAUAUAUAACGCCUGAAGUACUACACUGUAUCUGUCAGGGAUAAUGUGUGGAUGUGUGUGUGUGUGUAUAUAUUGUAACGAAUCUCCUUCGUCUGUCAGGAUAAUUAGACCUAUUUAUGAGCGUCAGGGUUCGGCUGCGGUUGUACACCACCGACUUCACUAAACAGAAAGCAAUCAAAUAAUACAGACACAAUUUGAAUUCACGAUUCAUGUGAGGCAAGUCCGUUUUUAUUUCCAAAAUAACUAUUCUAGUACUCACCCUUCAUAGGGUCGUAGUAUUCGUAAAGUAAACGUGCAACCUUGAUGUAACAAUGGAAGAUCAAUAACGGAACCAACUGAAGUCUCCCCCAUGUAGUGGGCUUAUUUGCAUAACUUUCCCAUUCCCACAAGGGCCAAUCAGAGCGUGGCUUACAGCUGUCUAAUUAAUUGGGCUACCACCCCUCAGGGCUGUUUCAACAAUUGGGGAGACAUUUCGUUACAAUAUAUAUAUAUACUGUAUAUAUUUCAAAAUUUCUUCGGUUUAAUUUUCAGCUUAAAAUUAUUUCUCUCUUCUAGUUUUCUAUCUUGACUGUAAAGAGAAAAAUGACUCUAUGACUGUAAAGAGAAAAACAACUUAAGCUAAUAGCUUAAGUUGUUUUUCUUACUUGAUUGAUUGAUUGACUGCGCCACAUUCGUGUGUGCUGCCACUGUUGUAAAAAUGAUGUAAAAUAAAUAUUAUUAUGCUCUUUAAAGGUUUAGAGUGGAAUAGCCGAGUACAAGUUUUGAAUUCUGGUAAACAGUUUCUGAUUGGUUAGUUCCCCAUUCUUACUAGCCAAUCAAGUGAUGUAGUAAAAUUAAGCAAGUUAGUUUUGAAUGAGGGGAUUUUCUUUGAAAUGCUUUGUUUGUUUAAGAUAUUUUUUUUUGUGAAAUAUAUAUUUUAAAUUUUGCAUUCAUUUAUCAAACUUGUUUUUGGAUAGGUUUGUUUCAAAUAAUAGGAGAUUCUUGGUAUUUUGUUCCUUUCUGUGCCUUUUAGUUGUUUAAUUUACAGAUCAAACUUGACAAUUUUUGAAGUGUAAUGACACAAUUUUUUGAAUUCAAGUUUGUAGAUAUAUAGGUACCUUUUACAAGAAAAAUGGCAUUUAUUCAGAAACUAUUUUCAAAAUGGUUAUUAUGCAUGACUGUAUAUUGUAAAGGAAAUGGUACAGCUUAUUAGUAUAGAGGAAGGGUGUUUGCCUAAUCAGUGGAAGUCCCUAGAUGGGCUCUGGUUGGAUAAUAAGAUCAGUGUCAUGUAAUGAUCAUAUGCUAGAGACAGAAGCCAAUAAAAGAAGUCGAACUAUGAGAAGUUAUGACUUGAUCUCCCUGUGUUUAAAGUAGACGACCUAUUGUAUAACUUACUUUGGAAUAUUAUAUAUAGGGGUUUUUUUCUAAAUUAUAGUAAUUUAUCAAUUUAAGUCAAGUAAACUAGAUUGUGUAAGUGAUUUUAAAUUUCUACUUUCGGCUCAAACCUCGGGAAGUCCCGUUUUAAUUUUAUGUGAACAAAAUAAUAGGCAAAAUUAGUUAUAGGAUAUAUAUAUUUUUAUAUGGUAAUUUUGAUGAAUUGUGUAUGUUUUGAUAUUUAGAAUUUAUAUUUUUCGACAGCAAAUACUAACACCUUACUUUUAAUAGCUAUUGUUUAGUCCUUGUGUAAGUGAUUUUAAAUUUCUACUUUCGGCUCAAACCUCGGGAAGUCCCGUUUUAAUUUUAUGUGAACAAAAUAAUAGGCAAAAUUAGUUAUAGGAUAUAUAUAUUUUUAUAUGGUAAUUUUGAUGAAUUGUGUAUCUUUUGAUAUUUAGAAUUUAUAUUUUUUCGAAAGGAAAUACUAACACCUUACUUUUAAUAGCUAUUGUUUAGUCCUUGUGUAAUUUUAAAGUAUACAGCAAUCAUUUUAAAUGCCUCCUUUUUUAAUGUAUUCAUAUGUUUUUAUAUUGUAAUGCAAUGAAAUUCAGGCAUGCCCUGUCGAUUGUAAAUUAUAUGCCAUAAUAAAUAAUGAACAAUUAGAGAUCAGGGCAUUGGAGGACAUGUGGUAAUGAAACUCUCCACCCCUCAAACUGUAUGAACAUUGUAGCAGUGGUAGUUUUAAGAUUCAUAUAGCACUGCAAUUUGUCUGACAGGCAGUCUUCAAUGUUUUUCAAAUACAAAAGAGUGAACAGUAAUGCUCUGGUCAGGGGGAAAUGCAUCCUGAUGAAAACAUGGGUAAUUUUUAAAAUUUGUAAAUACAUGCUGCCACCAAAAUACUGUAAAAAGAACAAAACAUAUGCAUAAUUUGUAUACUGUAUUUUAAUAUACAAACCAGGUUGGUAGAGCUGGUAGAAUCCUACUCCAACUUAAGUACAGUUAAGAUAUACAGUGGUAGAUUGAAGGAGGGCCCUAGUUGGCCCAAAGCCCCCCUUAAAUCUUUUAAAAAUUUUAAGAAAAUGGAGAAAAAAGGAAAAUUAUAUUCAAAUUUUAAGUCAGAGGGUGCCAUUUUCGAUCAUCGAAAGGCACCACAAUCAUAGAUUUUCUCAAGUCAGCCCCCGGCCAAUCGUGGUGAGGCGGGUGUGUACAGACCCAAAACCUGUGAAAGCCCCCUUUAUUUCAAAUAUCUGGAUCUGCCAAUGAUAUAUGUUUUGUUUUUAUGUAUAUAUCUUUUUGUUCUGCUGUUAGGGUUGUUCAUUCUAAAGUUCUUGCUUGCUUUGAAUACCUCUUUUCCAUUUGUCGUUGUGUAUUUUGUUACUUAAUAAUUCUUCAUUUUGUAUUGUCUUUAAUUCUGAUAAAUGGAAAUAAAGUUAUUAUUUGAAUUUUAAUUUUAAUAUGAA